UACGUAGGGACCAAGCGUUGUUCGGAUUCACUGGGCUUAAAGGGCGCGUAGGCGGAUGGCCAAGUCAAGGGUGAAAGCCCCCGGCCCAACCGGGGAAGUGCCUCUGAUACCGGUCAUCUCGAGCGGGAUAGGGGCAGCUGGAACUUCCGGUGGAGCGGUGAAAUGCGUAGAUAUCGGAAGGAACGCCGGUGGCGAAAGCGAGCUGCUGGAUCCCUCCUGACGCUGAGGCGCGAAAGCCAGGGGAGCGAACGGG
rnacentral:rRNA from 1 species